UACGUAGGGUGCGAGCGUUGUCCGGAAUUAUUGGGCGUAAAGGGCCCGUAGGCGGUUUGUCGCGUCGGGAGUGAAAACCUCGGGCUUAACUCGGGGCUUGCUUUCGAUACGGGCAGACUGGAGGUAUGCAGGGGAGAACGGAAUUCCUGGUGUAGCGGUGAAAUGCGCAGAUAUCAGGAGGAACACCGAUGGCGAAGGCAGUUCUCUGGGCCGUAACUGACGCUGAGGAGCGAAAGCGUGGGGAGCGAACAGG
rnacentral:rRNA from 1 species